UACGAGAGGCCCAAACGUUAUUCGGAUUUACUGGGCUUAAAGAGUUCGUAGGCGGUUCGUCAAGUGAGGUGUGAAAGCCCUCGGCUCAACCGAGGAAUUGCGCUUCAAACUGUCGGGCUCGAGGGAGAUAGAGGUGAGCGGAACUGAUGGUGGAGCGGUGAAAUGCGUUGAUAUCAUCAGGAACACCAGAGGCGAAGGCGGCUCACUGGGUCUCUUCUGACGCUGAGGAACGAAAGCUAGGGGAGCAAACGGG
rnacentral:rRNA from 1 species